AUGGACCGAAAAUUUGGGGCCAGCUCCCAGCCCACGCUGACUCAGCCGCCUUCAGACUCAGUGUCCCUGGGAAACACGGUGAAGUUCUCCUGCACCCUGAGCAGUCAGCACAGCAGCUACAUUGUUGAAUGGUAUCAACAAAGGGAUGGCCAGGCCUCUAAGUUCCUUUGGCUCAGUUCUGGCACCAAAGGAGAAGGGGUCCCAGAUCGAUUCACUAUUUCUGACUCUGGAGCCAUUCGCUAUUUAACCAUUACCAACGUCCAGCCAGAGGACGAAGCCACUUACUACUGUGGUGCAAGUUAUGGCAGUGUUAGCAGCUUCGGGUAA